rnacentral:rRNA from 1 species
CCUGAGAAACCCAAAAGAUCGAAUGGGGAGAUUCACCGUCAGCGGCGUUGGCUUCCGUGCGGCUCGCGAUGGUCGGGACUUCGGUCUCGCGCCACGCGGCCGCCGCGGCAUGUCCGGCGUCGUCGGCGUGCACUUCUCCCCUAGUAGGACGUCGCGACCCGUUGGGUGUCGGAUCAAUGGCCGGUCGGUCGUCUGUUGCGUCGUCCUCGCGGCGACGCGGCAGACCGAUCGGUUCAACGUCCGACUGCCCGGCGGUAUAGAACGCUUAAUCACGGUACUGGGCCGCAACUCGAAUGCGUUCAGGCUCGACGGCAGGCUCGUCUCGCUCGGAUUUACGGACCUAGCGCCGUUGCCGGGCGCUUGGCGUGGCCGUUAGUCGUCGAUGUCCUCGGACUGGCUCUUACCGGUCUGCGACGCUACUGC